CGGCUGGGGAUUUGUUGUUGUUGUUAUGGUGGUUGUAGCAAUGUCUUAAUCAGCCUUUUCCUGUCAUCAGAUGCCCGUGGAUUUAUUCAUUCAGCAGCUAUCCCCGGAGCUCCACUUGGAGCCAGGCACCAGGCAGGGGGCUCAGGUCCCGGAAGUGCCCACAACAGGCAGCUCCCUGCUCCCCUCAUUCCAGUCCUUCCAGAGCCUCCCUGAGACCUGCCUCUCCUGAGCUUACUCCUCCAGCCUCCUGUUGGUUCAGAGAGCCCCUGUGCUCCUUCUAGUACAUUCCCCUCUGCUUAUGUCAGCCAGGGCUGACUUGGCUGCUGACGAUGAGGGAGGCCUGGCUAAUUCCAGGCCAUGGUGGGCUUGAACCUUACGCUUCUCUGUCUCCCAUGCCUGGGCUCUUCCUGCCAUCAUCCUCCCUCCUGGUACCCACAGUCAUCUCUAUGCCUGAGCCCUGUAGACCUCAAGGCUGACCUUGGUGGGACCAACCAAGUCACAGGAUUUGUCUGAGAAGAACCGGGGUAUGAAGAGUUUUGUGGGUUUGAGAUGCCAUAAAACUGUCCAACAACAAUGACUUCCAAACUACCUCCCUCUGAGCUGUGGUGUCUGCAGAGAUCCCUCAUGGGCUGUCAGGAUUUGAGAGUGCGUUGGGGCAGUUGAGUACAAGGGCUCACUCCCUUCCCUACCCCCACACCUAUUUUAACCAGAGUGGCUUUACCUAGCACAGUAUUCAAGAGGCAUGCCCUCUGGGACCACGCUGCCUGGGUUUGGAUCCCAUCUCCACCACGCAUGAGCUAUAUGACCUUGGAUAAGUCACUUAUCACUCUGUACCUCAGUUUCCUCAUCGGUAACACGAGAAUGGAGAGACCUCAGAAUGGUGCAGUGACGAUUCUAGGAACGUAUGCUACCUAAGGCUUCAAAAGUGCUGGCCUGUGAUGAGUCUUCAACACACGAGAACUACUGUUACUCUUGCUUUUCCUAGUGGGUUUCAGCGGAAUAUUCCAUAAGAAAAAAGAAGGGUCUUUUUUGUUGUUUAAGAAAUGUCUGGGAAUCUGCCCCCCGGUGCCCUCUUGGGCAUGACCCCCUAGACCCACCUGGCGCUGGUGUCUUCCUCCAGCACAACGCUCCUCUGUGGGAUAAUUCCCAGCUCGAAAAAGCCACUCGACAUUUCUGUGAGAAGUCACUCCUUGCUGAUGUUCUCACUCCAGGCCAUUUCAGGGCGUCUGGCCUUGUGGCCAACGUGGAGAAGCAGGUGGCAGCUGCCCCAGCUCUGGUGCUGAGCUCCCUGGGCAGCGAGAUUCUGUUCUGCCCUGCAAGAUGGACCUUUUACACAGGCAUUUGGGCAACUGAGGGCUUUGUUGGGCCCAGCUUCUCAACACAUCAAAAAAGUUUUCUGGCUGAUGUCGCUGGUGUGGGGUGGGAGUAGA
rnacentral:lncRNA from 1 species